GAUAAAUUGCAUAAAUUAAAGCUGCUAACUUUUAAUUUUAGCGGUUAAAAUCCGUUAUUAUCUUU
rnacentral:tRNA from 1 species